UGAACAGAAGGCAGACACUUAACUGACGGAGCCACCCAGACACUCCAGAAUGGUCUUUUCAAAGCAGGCAGGAUGACAGCUAGGAACACGGAACCUGAACCCAGUGCUUUCUAAGAGUGACGGAACAAUCAGCUGCCUUUUAAGAAGCCUCCACCUGCCCUUCAAGAAAGGACGCCUUUGAUGGAGAGGAUUCUUACUAGGUCCAGCGGAAGGCAUGAAAGGUCCAAUUGUACCAGCAGCUGUCCAACUUAAAUGUGCAUCAGAAUCCCUUUACAGAUUUCUCGGUUAAGUAAACCGUCAGCUUUCAAGGGAUGCUUCUCUGAGAACACUGUGUGCUGAUGACCAUCGCUCAAGUCGUUUUCUGGAUCAAAAGUAAUGAGGCAGUGCCGGGCUUUAAUUGGCUUUUGCUUCUCAACAACUACAAUGUCACCCACCAAAGAGGAAUUACUUAUCUACUUAAACAUCAAAGCUAGAAAUAAGAGAAAAAACAUUCCAGCUGACCUGGCAACACUCAGAACUGGGCUCUGAGCUCCCACGCUGCGGGGUGAACAGACCAUGUGUGCAGUGCGCGGAAGCCCGGGGAACCGUCUACGGUGUCACAGGACCAGCUGGUGUGGCACAGGGCCGCCUUAGCAGAGGGACACACCCACGUCCACAGCCUCACUCCCGGUGGCCAAGGGGGGGAAGCAGCCGGAACCCCACUGGCGGAUGAGCAGAUAGAACUGACGCGCACAGCGCAGCACUAUUCAGCCUUGGAAAGGAAGCCAGCUCCGCCACACGUUAACGGCAGGCUCUGGAGGACUUUGUGCUACAUGGAAUCAGCCAGACCUUAAAGGACAAAUUCUGUGUAAUUCCACUUCCGUCAAGUUCAGAGAGGCAGACACGGGAAUGAAUGGAGGUUGCCAGGGGCAGAGGGUGGGGGAUGGGGGCAGAGUUUCAGUUCUGUGAGAUGAAGCGUUCUGGAGCCCCCGGAGCUCACUUGCACAAUAAUGUGAGUGCACGUGACACUAUCAAACUGUACACUUUCGAAUGGUGAAAGUGGGAAUUUUGUUUUAAGAGAGAGCAAGCAUGAGCAGAGGGGAGGGGAAGACUCCCCACUGAGCAGGGAGC